rnacentral:misc_RNA from 1 species
GAUGAAGAACGUAGCGAAAUGCGAUACUUGGUGUGAAUUGCAGAAUCCCGUGAACCAUCGAGUCUUUGAACGCAAGUUGCGCCCGAAGCCAUUAGGCCGAGGGCACGCCUGCCUGGGCGUCACACGUCGUUGCCCCCCCAUCUACUCCUUCGGGAUUGCGAGGGCGGAUGAUGGCCUCCCGUGCGCCUCGUCGCGCGGUUGGCAUAAAUGCCAAGUCCUCGGCGACGCACGCCACGACAAUCGGUGGUUGCGAAACCUCGGUUGCCCGUCGUGUGCGGUCGUCGCGCAUCGAGGGCUCGAAAAAAUUGUCGGGCUCCGGCUCGGCUUUCAACGCGACCCCAGGUCAGGCGGGGUUACCCGCUGAAUUUAAGCAUAUCAAUAAGCGGAGGA